GCAUCAGCAGAAUUCAUGAGAGGCUAAAAGGGCUCCAGAGUGAGACUUGAGACGGGUAACAAAUAUAGGUCUCACAGCAAGAGUUCCCCACUCAGGGAAGGUCUGCAUGCACACGUCUCUGGAGAAUUUUGGGAAAAUGUUGAGGAAAUGUUGGGCCAUGGAUUUUCAACCAUUGCCCUGAACAUUCAGCACCAAGAGUAAGCAUCCAGGAUUCAUCACGCUUCUGUAUGAAUUCCUCAACAACUGGAUCAUUCAGUUACAGGACAGCCAUCGACCUGCUGAUUAUGGACUUCAAUCAAUCCCCUGUCAAGGGAUGGAGGAGUGUUUCAGCAGUUUUUCACUUGAUGGCUAAAAUAAGUUUUUCCCUUUUUUAUUCUCCCUGGAAAAUUCCCUCUUCAGAGCAAUGAUUGAUUGACAGUUGAUUUGAUAAGUUUCUGUUUUACUCACUAUGGCUGCCACACAAACAGCCUGGUCUAAUUUAUCAUGCCAUUUAUCUUCUUUAUGGGGACUGUCUAAUCUGGGCUGUACUGUGCAGUGAAUUGAGUGAAAGCGAUGUCCCACAAUGGGUCCACUGCAGUGCUUGCAGGUCAGUGUCUUUCACCACUCAGCUGACAUGUGCUGUAUACGCUCUAUGAUUUUAGCAAAUGAGCCACUGCAGUUCAAUAUUAACAUGUGUAUGUAAUGCAUAAACAAAAAAAUAUGCGUAAAUUGAUUCAUUUAUUCAUUUAUUUGAUCGAAAGAGUCACGCUAUUGUGUCUUACUGCAAAAGAUGAUCAUAAGUGUCCCAGAAGUCCCCGGCAUUGCUUGAUUCAUAAGGCAAAGAAACAUUAUCUUGUCGGACUGAAACAGUUCUACAAAGCUCCCUGUAACUAGACAAUUUUAUCAAGAAUGAAUGUUCAUUUGUUAACAUUUUUCUGCCGUUGAACUAUAAAAUAUUAAAAUUAGUAUAACAUUUUUUUAAAAACAAUUUCUUGUUCACACUCCAAAAAAACAUAAUGCAUCUUUUUUUGAUUAUCGAUUUUUUAAGAAUAUAUCUUUCAUUAGGGACAUCAGUCUUUAGUUCUUAUUCAUUCAGUGACAAGAUUCAUUUCAUUGCAUUGUGGGUUGUAGCUUUACUAGUGAACAGUCCUGUAUGUAUCCUGUGUUAAAAACCAUGUCAGCAUUUUGGUCUUGUCAUUUUUUUUCUUCAAAAUUCUUCGCUAAGCCACUUUCACUUCAUGGUUUCACACUGAUUAAAACAGCCUCUUUCUCAAAAUAUGGCAAGCAUGCUGUCUAUAUGGUUACAUGGUAUAUUUGUACAUUCUAUAUUGUUUAAAAGCAUUUUUAAAAAUAAAAUUUUGCUGUUAUU